CCUCCAGAAUCUACCAAAAAAGGACAAACUCAACUCUAAAUGAUGUAAUAUAAUUUACAUCACAGAAUGGAGGAAGUAAAGAUUAGAGCCUAUAAGUUCUGUCCCUUUGGAGAACCCUGACUAAUAAGGAUUUUAGUACCAGAAGAGGUUCUAGCACAACAGUAGGUCUGCAAGUGGUGUCCUUGCCCUGUCCAGCUUAGCGCUCAGUCCUAUCUCCAGCUCUUUUACAAGACUCCCCGAGCUCGGCCUGAUGUUUCACUGUGGGUGUCUGCAUCUGUUUCCAUUCAGUGCUGGAUGAAGCCUCUCAGGGGACAGCUAUGCCAGGCUCCUGUCUCCAGGCGUAGCAGAGUAUCACUAAGACUGUCAGGGGUUGACUCUCUCAAAUGGAAUGGAUCUCAAGUUGGGCAGUCAUUGGUCGGCCAUUCCCUCAAACUCUGCUCCAUCUUUGUCCCUGAACAUCAUGAAGGCAGGACAAAUUUUGGAUUGAAGGUUUUGCAGCUGGAUUAAUGUCUGCCUCCCUCCACUGGAAGUCCUGCCUGGCUAUAGGAGAUGGCCACUUCAAUCUCCAUAUUACUGCUAGUAGGCGUCUAGGUGGGUGGACAAUGGAGCUGGUGGUCCAGGGACGGCAGCACGCAGAUCAGGGAAGUAUUUUGUUAACAAUGUGUUUGUACAGAUUUUCAUGUUUUAUUUCAGAACUAUUAAGAGAAUAUCAGGGGUUGUCAUAUUUAAAUUUUGAGAUAUCAAAGAAUGUCUCUUGUCCUUGAAACAAUAGAUUAUUUUAUGUGUAUGAAUGUUUUGCUUGCAUGUAUGUCUGUGCAGUACAUGCACGCAGUGCCCACAUAGUGGGUUGGAUCCCUGGAUCUAGACUUAUGCAUUCCUGUGGGUGCUGGGAAUUUAACCGGGAGUCAUCUCUCCUGUCUCUCCCUCUUCUGGUGUCAUCCUGCCUUCCCUCCAUCAUCCAUUGGUGACUGCAUGCUAACACUGUGCCUGCCAAGGCGCUGACCCGUCUGAGCAUGCAGUAGUGUGGAUGCAUAGUUCCUGGCCUCGGUGGCUUACAGAUACCCCUGAGUUAAUAUCUUUGUAUUGCAAUGUUCCUGUGACAGAUACCUAGUUGGGGAAAGGACUCGAGACCUGUGAAGAAAGACUACUCAUGGAUAGCAGAAUGAAAUCCCAGACAUUAUGAUGCAGUAUAGCUAAGAGUCCACCCCCAACCUUGAAGAAAAGACUGCUUGGUUGUGAGGAGUAUGAAUAGCUGUCCGUCCCAACUGUUAACUGCUUCAGACUCCCUUGUCUUUGAGCUGAGAUGCUGGUCUCUUUGGGGUGCACAUCCCCCAGCCUAUGAUCAAGCAAAACUUGGCAUAGCAUUUCUGCCGGACACAGGAUAACUUCCCUUCCUUGAUUCUGCUGUCUCCUAGCUCCCUUUGUCCUUCAGGAGUUCCUGGCCAAUAAUCUCUUUGUCCCCUAAGGUUUGUUUCUGCCUGUUUUCUGGAGACCGCUCUAGGUUUUGGGAGUUAAUCAGGUGGAUUCCAGUGGCUCCAAGCAUCCUCUGACACUGACAGAAACAGGUGCUUUAGAACUGAUGUUGAGCUGGGGUCAGCAGUCCUAUCUGUCACUCUGCUGGAGGGACUACAGAAUAUUUCCUCUCUGGGAAAUGAAUCAAAUAAGCCCAUGUUCAUUGAUGUUCUUCUUGGCCCCAAACACAUCCUGGCACCAUGUAAGUGACUCGAAUGUUUCCGCAGGCUUUCUGAAUGGGUUAUUUAUUCAAUUGAGGGUAAGACUCAGGUAAAGGUCAUUAAAUCAUUUUCCUAUUAGUCAGUUUCAGAAAUGCUAGCUAGUUAUAAAUGGGCCAUUAGCUGGUUACACGUACACUCCUUAAACCCCUUACCCACAUGAUUUUUCUACUCAUUUCUUAACAGCCUCAAUGCUUCAGUCACACGAACAGCCCACAAGUACUGAGGAGUGUUAAGCGGAAGGGACUGGCUGUUGUCUUCUGCUGGGAGAGCAUCUUCUCAUUCAUUACUAGAAAAGCAGUAAUCUAUAGCCAGAUGUGGUGCUACAACCUGUAAUCAUAGCGUUCAGGAGGCUGGAGCUGGGGGGAUUGCCACAGAUCCAAGACCAUUCAGAAACUCAGAAAGCUCAAGGCCAGCCUCUAUGUGAGUUGCUGAAAAGACAGAUCUGUGGAGAAGUACUGGCUGUUAAUGAUGUGCGGGCUCCCAGCAAGGUCAGAGCAGAUGCUCAGAACUCACAUUAAAAAAGCUGGUCAUGGAUUCCUUUAACUAGGUGGAGACUGGAGGAUUGCUGGGUCUUACUGACCAGCCAGCCUAUCUGAAACACACUGAGUCCCAGAUUCAGAUGGGGACCCUGUGUGAAGAGGAUAAUGUAAAAGGAGACAGAGGGAGACAACUGUCACCCUGUUCUGACUCCUGUAUAUACAAGCAAAGGCACAGGCAUGAGCACAUGUGUGCACACAUGCUUUACUCAACCAAAAAAGGUAGAGGAGGGGAGAGGAGCAGGAGAAAGAGGAAGAGGAGAAAAGAAAAAUGAUAAUCCCCUAGUCAAGCAUUUACCAAAUACUUGUAGACCAAGAGGGGCCACUAGUCAUGUCUCAUUCAAUCUCAAGCUACACCCACUCCUCCAUAUUUUAAAGAAACCCACGUGCAGUUUCAGUCCGAUGUGUCUGGAGCUCUACAGUGCUGUUUAUUCCUCUUUCUCCUAUUUAACCAUCCUCCCUUCAGGUAAAAACAUCCCGACCUGUGUAGUGGAGUUAAGAAGAACAAAGGCUCCUGAGUCAGAUGGACAGGCUUGGGUUUAAGUCUAAGUUCUCUCGCUGACUUGCUGUAUGGCCUUGUAUAGUUACUUAAUUGUAGGGAGCGGUACAUAUAGAUAAAAGAUGGCGCUGACAUCUGGUGGUCGUUUGUGGUUAACACCCACAAAGCACAUGUCCUGGCAUUUUUCUGGCAAGCUAUCAGGCUGGUGGGUUAUUCAUGCUAAUGAGGUAUUUCAUGAUCCACCAAUCCCUAGAGAACAAGUAUAUAGCCAUAGCCUGUUUUUGUAUUUAAGGCUGGUGCCUUUGUUGCUCGGGGUCCCCGUAUCAAGAAUGAGGUGUUCCUGCAAUAAAGGGUGUUGAGAAGAAUCCAACGGUGUUGCGUCUUCCAUGCUGGACGAGGUGGUGUUGCAACUGGUGGCCUUUACUGGGAUCCGAGGACAUCCUUCUGGAUUCACAACUCUUCAACCUCAGGACGGCGACGUCGAAUCAAGACAAUCCAAUUGGGUGCCUGAGCGUUUCACAUGCAAACUGCCUCCUGCUACUCCUGACAAUGGAACUAUGCACUCUAUUAUUGCUGCUAAUGGUAAUCCAGGUUGAUUCACUCACUCUGUGGCCUAUUGCCAGACCCUGGCCAUUACUUAUGCCAGUUCAUAGCAAUUCUACUGUUUUGCCAACCUUCUUCUCCACCUCCUGUUUGCGUGAUGUUCCCUGUAUAGUGCCUAAUGGAGAAUUGUCCCAACGGUAUACUGCCACUAAUCUUUCUUUGUUGCAUACAUUAUGUUUCACUCUUAAAAAUUCCUCCCUGCCUUGUAUAUGGCUGCGAAGGACAACAUUGGCUAAUUUUUUGGAUCCUAUGAGCAAUAGUGCUAUGGGCACUGACCAUCCUGGCUGCUUUGAGUCAAGUUACCCAAGGAGCCUCUUCAGGCAGUGGAGACACAUCAAUCAAUAAUUCUGCUGAGUUGAACAUUACAACUUUGAUUAUGAUGCAUAAUUGUAGUUUUCCAUCACGCCUGGGGCAAGGCAAUCACACACUAGAUAACUCUACCUGUCGUAGAGUCCUACGUACUUGCCCCCAUAUCAAGCGUUUCCACCUAAUUUUACCCCAUGUCAGAGUCCAUUCCAUAGAGCAAAACAAUUCCUACGGGGAUUUGAAUUUUCCCCUCCUCUUGGCAAUGUACAGUAUGAUCAGGGGAAAAAUAAGUCUGACAAGCCUUAUUUUGGCCUUGGUAUCAAUGGGUAUUAUCAAAUGAGCAGGGAGCAUACACAACUCUAAUUCCUUUUGCCCAAUUAUUAGGUGAAGACUUUACACUGUAUAAUAUUUCAGCCACUAGAACAAAUAACAAAACCAGUUUAGUAAAUGUAAAGAUUAAUGGCCUUUUAGCAAAUGAUACUGCCGUUGGAGCUUCAGUAUGUGUUAGACCACCUUUCUUCUUUCUGAUAAGCACUAAUGUAAGCGAUGAUGCUUUAAAUUUUAACAACUCUGAUGUAGUCUGCUAUUUAGCUGAAUACUGGGAUGGCACCAAUGAUACUGCAGUGAUGGUCAAGAUUCCCUCCUUUGUGCCAAUCCCAGUAGAGGCCAACCCAGAUAGUUUUCCCAUACUUCAUUUACUAAGAACCAAAGGGGAUUUUGGUAUUAUGGCAGCUCUAACUUCAAACAUUUUACUAUCAGCCGUUGCAGCAACACCAGCCGAGAUUGCUAUGACUAAUCAAGUACAGACGGCUGAGACUAUCAACCAGAAUGUGGAAAGAACCGCAGUGGCAUUAGAGAUAAAAGAAGAAUUUAAUGCCCACUUGACUGGCUUUCUAUUAACUAAUCAACGAAUGGAUUUAAUUCAAGAACAAAUUGAAGCACUAUAUCAUAUGUCACAGCUGUCCUGCAUUUCCUCCCUUAGAGGUUUAUGCAUUACUCCUUUGCAAGCUAAUUUUUCUCAGUAUUCUCAAGAGAGCAAAGAAAUCUCGAAUUAUCUGAAAGUAAACUGCUCCAUGAAAGUGGAGUAACUAUCAAGAUUAUUGCUGAUGCAGAUUGCUGUCCUUAACAACACUAGAUUGGAACGUAUCACGUUUGGAGAUUUCACCUCAUGGAUUAUCAAUGCUUCCUCCUUUUUGAAAGAAUGGGCUGGCAUGUUUGCCUGGGGGGCCAUUGUCCUUUUGGGAUGUGGAGUAUGUCUAUGGCUCUUCUGCAAUUUACAACGAGAACAUGCCAGACACAAAGCGAUUGUUUACCAGGCUAUGGUUGCCAUUGAAAGUCGUGCUUCUCCCAACAUAUGGCUGGCCUCUUUGAAAAAUUAAGAGUUCGCCCUAGAUCGUAUUUUGUCACUGUCAUGUGAACGCAUUGUCUCGAGAGACGGGCAACUUUCCUCAGGCUAGGACCAACCUAAGACAGGGGCCCGGUGUCGAUAGGGUAACCCAGUAAUGGGAAUGGCCGAGCUGCCAGGAGGAACGACCUAUGACAGGAGCAAUGACAAUAUUGACGUGACACCCUGAUCUAGACCAGUCAUAGACAGAGGUGCUACACCCCAUUUGAACAUACGGACUGGUCAAAUGCUCCUCUGCCCAGUUUCUCCCCAAUAAAAACACACGUAUAGCCCAGAAUGGUGUGUUACAGCAUAAGUUCAUUUAUUGCCAUUGGGGUGCAGUACUAAUUGCAAGAGUAGCCCGCCAUAACCGAGUUGGGCACUCUGUGAGACAUGUCUGAUCUCUCUCAGACCACUACCUCCAUCUAUUGGCUUCUUUUUUUUUCAUAAUACAAAAAAGGAGGAGUUGUAGGGAGCGGCACAUAUAGAUAAAAGAUGGCGCUGACAUCUGGUGGUCAUUUGUGGUUAACACCCACAAAGCACAUGUCCUGGCAUUUCUCUGGCAAGCUAUCAGGCUGGAGUGAUAUUCAUGCUAAUGAGGUAUUUCAUGUUCCACCACUCCCUAGAGGACAAGUAUAUAGCCAUAGCCUGUUUUGUAUAUAAGGCUGGUGCCUUUGUUGCUCGGGGUCCCCGUAUCAAGAAUGAGGUGUUACUUCAAUAAAGGCUGUUGAGAAGAAUGCAACGGUGUUGCAUCUUCCUUGCAGGACGAGGUGGGCAUUGCACUUGAUCUUUCUGAGUCUUAGCUAACAGUAUGGAAAGUUGAAAAUAAAUAGUACAAACUAUAGAGAGUUGAUACAAAGUGGAAAUAAAACCUAUCGAGGACUUGCCUCCUUCUUGAUUUCUUUAUUUCCCCACAUCAAACACUAUUAUAUGUUUCUAGUUCCAGGGUAAAUAAAAUUUAUAAGGAUACAAAAUAUGUUCCCGUUAUAACUGUGUUUCUUUGUAAGCAGACUCUUGACAUCAUUUCCACUUGGACUUCCAUGAGCAAAUAUGACUUUGAACAUGAGAUUAUGUCCAGUCAGUUAAAGUCCAACGUUCUCUGUGGUAAACAGCUGAAGCAGUUUACCUUACUAAGUUAGCAGUUUGCAUU